rnacentral:rRNA from 1 species
UACGGGGGGGGCAAGCGUUGUUCGGAAUUACUGGGCGUAAAGGGCUCGUAGGCGGCCAACUAAGUCGGACGUGAAAUCCCUCGGCUUAACCGGGGAACUGCGUCCGAUACUGGAUGGCUUGAGUUCGGGAGAGGGAUGCGGAAUUCCAGGUGUAGCGGUGAAAUGCGUAGAUAUCUGGAGGAACACCGGUGGCGAAGGCGGCAUCCUGGACCGAUACUGACGCUGAUGAGCGAAAGCCAGGGAGCAAACGGG